UUGUCUUUGUUUUUUUUGUUUAUUAUUGUUUCAGUGUUAUGUGUGUAUCCGUAUGCGCGCGUUCGUGUUUUUUUCGUUCGUGCGUGCGUGUGUGUGUAUGCGCGCGUGUGUGUUUAUGUGCCAAUACAUUUCUAAGUACCAUGAUACACUAUGCCAUAUAAAGUGUUUUGUUUAACCUUUAUACUACUGUUACUCAGUAUUGUUUUUAGUGUUAUGCACUCGUUCUACUCCUACCCAAUUACAUUCCUCCAAUGAUUUUAUUACCAAAUAAUUGCAACACACAAGUAAACAUUUAUUAUUGAAAAAGACGCAAGUUUAUUAUUUUGCAGUCUAGAUAUUUAUUGCGAUAUUGAUCUAGUGUUAUGAAUGAUGGAUAUAUUCUCAAUAGUUCAUUAACAUUUGAAGAAAGUCGUUAAUGUCAAAUUACGUGUAUGUCUACGAAGUAAAGUUUAAAGAAUGUGUGUUACCUCACUCCCAUUUGGUGAUGUUGGCUUAAACUGCUGCUGGUGCUGCUGUUGGAACGACACGUGCUCUAGCUGUUCUUUUAACCGGUGUUUCUAAAGCAUUGUAUACCAAAUAGUGGCAUUGUACUGCUGGUGCGUAGAUUCUACUUUAAUUGUAUUAAUUGAUAAUGUUUGCUAAUAGGCUAAUUAGACACCUUUUAAAAUUACAAGACGUCCUAAUCAUCCAAAUAAUGGAUAUUAGAAAUCCAUUUGUACGUUCUUUAAGACAGUAUCGGAGAGCCUGAUGACAAAAUCUCCUAGUUCUAAACAUAAUUGCUGCACAUACGGCACAUCAACACAAUAAAUGUUAGAAGAGGCAAAAUAGGAUCGAAAUAGGAAUAUGAGGUACAGAUUCAAAAACUAUUAGAUCUACUGUAGAAACAGCAAAAUCAAACGUUCAGACCCUAUUAGUCGCUAGUUGCUGCUGCAAAAAUCGAGCUGGCAAAACUAAAAACAAAACACCAUAUUCCUGUUAACGUAAGAAAGUUUGUUUACUUGGAUUCAAAACAUUUCGCGGUAAGUAUCGCAGUACGGACCAAAAAUUAAGAUGAUUCAUUUAUGAAAUGAUAGAGCCGGUAAAUCAUAAACUAUAUAAUUAUGUAUUAUUGUUAAGAAUUUUGAGAUAGGAAGUAUGUCUUUAAAACGAGAUGCAAGGCUCAUUUAAAUAUAUUUCGUUUGUAAAAUUAUUCAUGCCUUAUGAUAUUAAGACCUUUUAAUAGUAUGGCACAUAAUGGCACUCAUAAUUUAACGAGGCAUAUGAAGAUAUGCCCUCGGGCCAUUAUGAAACUAGGUGUGCCAUUAUGGCUAGAAGGCACAACCAAGCCGUAUAUUAACCUCUUAAUAAAUAUAUAUAUAAGACUUGUAUGGUAUUCCCUUUAGUAUUUAGAGACAAGGACAAAAACAUUCAACAGGAAAAGCAACAUUCAAAUAGUGCAGCCAUCCUUACAAUAGCCCACAUUUAAAUAGAUUUAUACACGUGUUAACCUACUGAGCUCAGGUAUACAAAGAAGCAUUUAGAAGGGAAAUGAAAAUUGAGAGUCAGACCAUCGAACACCGAAUACUAAUUGUAUAUCUAUAUAUUGACCAUGUGCAACCUGUUUGCACACUUAUAUCAUGUAUACUACCUGAUGCAUAAAGAGCGGUAUGUAAGCAUGUCUAAACAAACACACCAUUGUUGUUGUUCAUUUUCAAUCGUACUCAAUAAACAAACACUAUUUUUUACACAAGGUUGACCUAUAUUAUGACAAUGCCUUGUUAUUUCUAACGUAUAUAGUAAUACAGUUUGCUCCGCGUUUAGAUGGUGAUGCGCAUCAGGAGGUAAGCAGUAAAAAUGGUAAAGCAAUUAUUGGAGCUUCGGUUGGAGGUGCUGCUGUGGUUUGUCUGGUUUUAGUGAUAAUAGUUGUUUUGAUUUACAAAUUCAGGAUCAAACCAAACAGAACAGAAAGCAAAAACGUGUACGCCGGCCUAGAUCUUUCUAUGACACCUGCUGAUGCAUCAGCAUACGACACCUUACACAAUUCUCAAGACAAACUUGGCUCAAGCCACACUGGUGACUACGUGAAUUUAAGUGUGAUGGGCAGAUGAUCAACCAUGUUUACGUUUAGCUUCGAAGACGUUAUGAAAAUAGACACAUUAGUGAACGUUCACAAUUGCUGAUUACUAUAGAAACAUUAACUCAUGAUAUUUCCAAAUGUGUAAAUUCGCAUAAUUUCUAUAUUUUGAUAGCGAUAUAGUUAUUUGAAAAUAAUUUAAUACAUCUGAAUCUGUGUUUGUCAAUGAGAAUUGUUCGAGGGUGAAGCCGUGUCAUGAGUUUCAUCUAAUAUAAUGAUACAACAUCAAAUAUGUUUGAACAAUAAAUUGACCAAUAAGCUUUUA